rnacentral:rRNA from 1 species
CCUACGGGUGGCAGCAGUGGGGGAUAUUGCACAAUGGCGGGAACUCUGAUGCAGCGACGCCGCGUGAGGGAAGAAGGUUUUCGGAUUGUAAACCUCUGUCUUCGGUGACGAAUCAAGACGGUAGCCGAGGAGGCAGGCACGGCUAACUACGUGCCAGCAGCCGAGGCAAUACGGGGGUGGGCAGGUUUGUCGGGAAUUCAUGGGUGAAAGGGGUUCGUUGGGGGGAAAGAAAGCUCAAGGUUUAAGGUACGUGAACAACCUGUACGAGCGUUCGAAACUGUUUUGCUGGAGUGGAGAAGGGGUAAGCGGAAUGUCUGGUGUAGCGGUGAAAUGCGUAAAUAUUAGGAGGAACACCAGUGGCGAAGGCGGCUUACUGGGCUGUAACUGACGCUGAGGCUCGAAAGCGUGGGUAGCAAACAGGAUUAGAUACCCUUGUAGUC